UUUUCUUUCUGUGUAUAAUUUGACUCUGUUGCAUUGAGCAGCAUGUGUUCUUUAUUAAGAGUAGCCGUAUGUUGAUGCUUCAUUCAUGCAGGGACGUCUCCAACGGGGCACCAGAGGGGCCUCAGCCACUCCACAUCUAAUAACUCUGAUGUCCUGGUUUCAGUAAAUGCAACUUAAGGUGCCCAAGUGCAGGUGAAAGCAGCAUUAAAUGACUAUCAGCGAUGUUUUAGCAGCAGCAGGUGGGCUCAGCGACCAUCCAUAAACAUCGCAAAGCACCAAAGACAACUUUAGUUGUCUUUGGAGCUGAAGGUUAAGCCUCUUCAGACUCUUUCCCAUUAAUCUGAUGGCAACUGAACGUGUCUGUUAAUUCUGCAUCUGAAUUAACUUUUCUGUUAAAGAUGAGACAACAGUCCAGCACCAGUCUGACCUGCAUGCUCUCACAUUAACAGAUAGACACAAGCCAGCUGUGUGAGGUGAUUUAUGGAGAACUUUUUCCACAUUUCAGUGCCAGUGUUGAUUGGAAAAUAUCAGAACAAUAAACAAAUUUUACUGUCAAAGUUACAAAACACCUUCCUCAUUCGUGCUGCUCUACCAUUUCACAUCCAUGACAAACUUGAAGUAAAACCGACUAAGCUGAGAUUAGUGACUUUUUUUGUCCAAAAUGGAUCUGACAUUAAGUUUGUUGCUUCCAGCUGUUUUUAGGAGUUAAAUAACAGCAGCAGGAUCCAUAUGAGCGAUUCCAAAGCAGAAAGCUGCAUUCAUUUGUGGGCGUGGAACAACGAAACAACAGUGCAGGUAAGAAUGAAUUAAUUAUAAAUUAUCGGCAACAUGGAGAGACGAUCGAUCAGGACCUUAGAGCAAGCCAUGCUGUGUAUUUUAGUGAGCUGUCCCACAGUCACAGUUAAAUCAAAUGCUUUCACUUUGUCAUAUUUAGGAUCGGAACUGUGACAGAGUUUCUGCACUUGGGCUGUUGCCGUGGGAACAGCACAUCCGCAAGCUUCAGAGCUCAUCGGUAAGUCUUUGCUUUAUGUUUUAUCCUAAAAACACCAA
ensembl:lncRNA